UUACUUUUGGGUUUUGUCUACCUCCUGUGGUACCCGUUUAUAGCAGGGAAUUUCUUCCACUUGCAGACCAAGUGUGUUGGGGACUUGAGAUAUGUACAUGAGUGUUUGUGAUGUUUCCUGGUGAAAGCACAGGUGAGACGUGGUCUUGUAACACAGUGGUUAAGAAUGUGACUUUGGAGCCAGCCUGCUAGGGGCUGAAUUCUGACUCAGCCAUUUAUUAACUGUGUGACCUUAGGUAAGUCAUUUACCUUCUCUGUCCCUCAGUUUCAUCUUGGUAAAGUAGGGAUAAUGAUAGAACUUAUUUUAUAGGGUUAUUGUGAGGAAUAAAUCCAAGUAAAAUGCUUAGAAUAGUAACUGAAACAUAGCACUCAUUAAGUAUGCUUUAAUUUUCAUUUAUUUGAAUAUUAAAGGUUGAAUUUUCAGAUGUAUUUUGGACUUUUGUAUUUUUUCUUUAAAUCACUUAUUCAUGACUUUUGAACUUUUUUUUUUCUUUUAGAGACAGGGUCUUGGUUUGUUGUCUAGGCUGGAGUGCAGUGGUGCAAUCAUAGCUCACUGUAGCCUUGAACUCCUGGGCUCAAGAGAUCCUCCUGCCUCAGCCUCGUGAGUAGCUGGGCCUACAGGCGCCUGCUACCACACCUGGAUAAUUUUUUAUUUUUUGUAGAGAUGGGUUCUUGCAGCCCAGACUGGUCCUGAUCUUUGGCCUGAAGUGCUCCUCCUGCCUUGGCCUCUCAAAGCAUUGGGAUUACAGGUGUGAAGCACUGCACCUUGCCUGCACAUUUUUUCCAAUAAUUUUUUUUAUUAAUUUGUAAGAGUUAACAGGUCGACUAUCAUAUAUAAU
rnacentral:antisense_RNA from 1 species